UUCCUGUCUCUUGCCAUCCUUGGGUCUAAGCUGUCUGGCAUUUAGUUGUCGGGCAGUGGCUGCCCAUCGUUUACUGUGAAAAAAUUAGAGUGUUCAAAGCAGGCUUAUGCCGUUGAAUAUAUUAGCAUGGAAUAAUAAGAUAGGACCUUGGUACUAUUUUGUUGGUUUGCGCACCGAGGUAAUGAUUAAGAGGGACAGUUGGGGGUAUUCGUAUUCAAUUGUCAGAGGUGAAAUUCUUGGAUUUCUGGAAGACGAACUACUGCGAAAGCAUUUACCAAGGAUGUUUUCAUUAAUCAAGAACGAAAGUUAGGGGAUCGAAGAUGAUUAAAUACCAUCGUAGUC
rnacentral:rRNA from 1 species